CUCCACCGCCUCCCUCCGCCGCCGCACGAGCCAACUCUGCGCCCACUCCCCGGCCUCCGCCCGCCGCCCCGCCCGCCGCCCCAUGGCGCCCCAGGCCCUAGUUCUGCGGGGCCACUAGGACCCUAGGCGUCCCCUUCCCUCCCCCCUCCCACGGCGCGAACCCGGGGGUCCACUGCGCCCAGCUUUGGAGCUUCGCGUCCCAGAAGAGAGGGGACCUCCCCCCCACCUCCCCGCCCAGUCUCCUGGGACCCGGAGAAAAUGUCUUCGCGGACGGCGCUGGCCCCGGGCAACGACCGGAACUCGGACACGAUCCUCCAAAAGGAGAAUAAUUCCAGAACUGAGAGUAACAUGGCAUUGACGAUAAGAAACCGUGACGUCCAGUAAUGGACCUCCAGCCAGUCCCAAGCAAAUUCGGCAAUCAGCUGGUACGGAAGGAAGGAGUAUUUCACCAGGAAUUCUCUCCACUGCUUCCACGUGGGUUCCCUCAGAUCCUUUCCAAGUAACGCACAGGCUCCGGCUGCGUCUCCAACUCCCCCCUGAGCCGAGGGACGGCAGCGAGACCCGGCCCAGGGCCCUCUGCAGACCCACCAGCAGCCUGGUGAUGAUGUCCUCGCUGGAGCCGCCUUCCUGCAGAGGGCAGAUGGUGUGGAUGAAGGGCAGGAAGGUGUCCGUGUAGUCGAACAGGUAGAGGUACAGCAGGCCGAGCCUGGGGGAGCUCUUGAGGGCGUAGAGCAGGAACAGCGACCUGCCGGGGUUCACGGCCUGCGGUGGACGAGAGGGGAGGACUCAUUACCCCCCCCCCCCCGACCCCGGCCCGCCCCCCACCUCCCCUCGCUCCUUCCGGUCUCCCACCCCUGCCACACGCUUCGCCCUAACACCGAAUGAAUGAGUGAGUGAAUGAAUGAAUGAGAAGAAGAGGCCCAGGGAUCCACGUGGCGGGCUGCAUCAUCUGAAGAGCCAGGGUCUCUCCACGCUGGGGAGGGAGGCGGAAUGAGAAGCAGGCUCCUAGACACUGUGAGAAGAGCACAAUCUUUGGGGAAAGUAAUGGGUGGGCAUCACUUAAUAAAGACGAUCUGA